ACGAACGCUGGCGGCGUGCCUAAUACAUGCAAGUAGAACGCUGAAGAGAGGAGCUUGCUCUUCUUGGAUGAGUUGCGAACGGGUGAGUAACGCGUAGGUAACCUGCCUUGUAGCGGGGGAUAACUAUUGGAAACGAUAGCUAAUACCGCAUAACAAUGGAUGACACAUGUCAUUUAUUUGAAAGGGGCAAUUGCUCCACUACAAGAUGGACCUGCGUUGUAUUAGCUAGUAGGUGAGGUAAUGGCUCACCUAGGCGACGAUACAUAGCCGACCUGAGAGGGUGAUCGGCCACACUGGGACUGAGACACGGCCCAGACUCCUACGGGAGGCAGCAGUAGGGAAUCUUCGGCAAUGGGGGCAACCCUGACCGAGCAACGCCGCGUGAGUGAAGAAGGUUUUCGGAUCGUAAAGCUCUGUUGUAAGUCAAGAACGGGUGUGAGAGUGGAAAGUUCACACUGUGACGGUAGCUUACCAGAAAGGGACGGCUAACUACGUGCCAGCAGCCGCGGUAAUACGUAGGUCCCGAGCGUUGUCCGGAUUUAUUGGGCGUAAAGCGAGCGCAGGCGGUUUGAUAAGUCUGAAGUUAAAGGCUGUGGCUCAACCAUAGUUCGCUUUGGAAACUGUCAAACUUGAGUGCAGAAGGGGAGAGUGGAAUUCCAUGUGUAGCGGUGAAAUGCGUAGAUAUAUGGAGGAACACCGGUGGCGAAAGCGGCUCUCUGGUCUGUAACUGACGCUGAGGCUCGAAAGCGUGGGGAGCGAACAGGAUUAGAUACCCUGGUAGUCCACGCCGUAAACGAUGAGUGCUAGGUGUUGGAUCCUUUCCGGGAUUCAGUGCCGCAGCUAACGCAUUAAGCACUCCGCCUGGGGAGUACGACCGCAAGGUUGAAACUCAAAGGAAUUGACGGGGGCCCGCACAAGCGGUGGAGCAUGUGGUUUAAUUCGAAGCAACGCGAAGAACCUUACCAGGUCUUGACAUCCCGAUGCUAUUUCUAGAGAUAGAAAGUUACUUCGGUACAUCGGUGACAGGUGGUGCAUGGUUGUCGUCAGCUCGUGUCGUGAGAUGUUGGGUUAAGUCCCGCAACGAGCGCAACCCCUAUUGUUAGUUGCCAUCAUUCAGUUGGGCACUCUAGCGAGACUGCCGGUAAUAAACCGGAGGAAGGUGGGGAUGACGUCAAAUCAUCAUGCCCCUUAUGACCUGGGCUACACACGUGCUACAAUGGUUGGUACAACGAGUUGCGAGUCGGUGACGGCGAGCUAAUCUCUUAAAGCCAAUCUCAGUUCGGAUUGUAGGCUGCAACUCGCCUACAUGAAGUCGGAAUCGCUAGUAAUCGCGGAUCAGCACGCCGCGGUGAAUACGUUCCCGGGCCUUGUACACACCGCCCGUCACACCACGAGAGUUUGUAACACCCGAAGUCGGUGAGGUAACCUUUUGGAGCCAGCCGCCUAAGGUGGGACAGAUGAUUGGGGUGAA
rnacentral:rRNA from 1 species